GACGAACGCUGGCGGCGUGCCUAAUACAUGCAAGUCGAGCGGACAGAUGGGAGCUUGCUCCCAGAAGUCAGCGGCGGACGGGUGAGUAACACGUGGGCAACCUGCCUGUAAGACUGGGAUAACUUCGGGAAACCGGAGCUAAUACCGGAUACGUUCUUUUCCCGCAUGGGAGAAGAUGGAAAGAUGGUUUCGGCUAUCACUUACAGAUGGGCCCGCGGCGCAUUAGCUAGUUGGUGAGGUAAGGGCUCACCAAGGCGACGAUGCGUAGCCGACCGUAGAGGGUGAUCGGCCACACUGGGACUGAGACACGGCCCAGACUCCUACGGGAGGCAGCAGUAGGGAAUCUUCCGCAAUGGACGAAAGUCUGACGGAGCAACGCCGCGUGAACGAUGAAGGCCUUCGGGUCGUAAAGUUCUGUUGUUAGGGAAGAACAAGUACCAGAGUAACUGCUGAUACCUUGACGGUACCUAACCAGAAAGCCACGGCUAACUACGUGCCAGCCGCCGCCGUAAUAC
rnacentral:rRNA from 1 species